rnacentral:rRNA from 1 species
CAGUAGCCGCGGGAAUACGUAGGGUGCAAGCGUUAAUCGGAAUUACUGGGCGUAAAGCGUGCGCAGGCGGUUCGUUAAGGCAGAUGUGAAAUCCCCGGGCUUAACCUGGGAACUGCAUUUGUGACUGGCGGGCUAGAGUAUGGCAGAGGGGGGUAGAACUCCACGUGUAGCAGUGAAAUGCGUAGAGAUGUGGAGGAAUACCGAUGGCGAAGGCAGCCCCCUGGGCCAAUACUGACGCCCAUGCACGAAAGCGUGGGGAGCAAACAGGAUUAGAUACCCCGGUAGUCCCUGUCUCUUAUAC